rnacentral:rRNA from 1 species
GAUGAACGCUGGCGGCGUGCCUAAUACAUGCAAGUCGAGCGAACAGACGAGGAGCUUGCUCCUCUGACGUUAGCGGCGGACGGGUGAGUAACACGUGGAUAACCUACCUAUAAGACUGGGAUAACUUCGGGAAACCGGAGCUAAUACCGGAUAAUAUAUUGAACCGCAUGGUUCAAUAGUGAAAGACGGUUUUGCUGUCACUUAUAGAUGGAUCCGCGCCGCAUUAGCUAGUUGGUAAGGUAACGGCUUACCAAGGCAACGAUGCGUAGCCGACCUGAGAGGGUGAUCGGCCACACUGGAACUGAGACACGGUCCAGACUCCUACGGGAGGCAGCAGUAGGGAAUCUUCCGCAAGGGGCGAAAGCCUUACGGAGCAACGCCGCGUGAGUGAUGAAGGUCUUCGGAUCGUAAAACUCUGUUAUUAGGGAAGAACAAAUGUGUAAGUAACUAUGCACGUCUUGACGGUACCUAAUCAGAAAGCCACGGCUAACUACGUG